rnacentral:rRNA from 1 species
UAGGGAAUCUUCCACAAUGGGCGAAGCCUGAUGGAGCAACGCCGCGUGUGUGAUGAAGGCUUUCGGGUCGUAAAGCACUGUUGUAUGGGAAGAACAGCUAGAAUAGGAAAUGAUUUUAGUUUGACGGUACCAUACCAGAAAGGGACGGCUAAAUACGUGCCAC